ensembl:lncRNA
GCUCAGUCACACAAUAAGAUUCCACCUUUUUACCUGAAAUGCAUAAAUGCAUUUUGCAUUUUUGCAUCUUUUUUUUUUUUUUCUUUUUUUCUUCUGCCAGGUUUUGAAAGAACAGGGAACCUGCUGUCAGAUGAUAGACUGGGAAGCAGAGACAGCUCCAAAAUCAGUGUGUGAAGUUUCUAGGCCCUGUUUGAAGGCAGCAGAUGGAGCUGCCUGCCCUGAUGGUAAACAGCAACUGCCUGGAACCAAGUUAACAGCUUCACAUUCUCUUCCUUCAACCCAGCCUCUUGUCAGGAGCAGUUCAAGCAUAUGACAUGUCAGUCAUUAUUAUGAUUGCUUCCCUGCACAUGGACACUGCGGAUCUGCCACGGGAGGAAACAAGGAGCAUCAAACUGAAUCCAAAUUGAGCGCCUGAGGAAUGUGUGUGCAAGAGGACACCCACUCUCUCUCACACAUGCACUUAUACCAAUGAUAGCAAGUAUCAGCUCUUCCACAUCUGUGAGCAGUAGCACUGCACAUUGUGAAAAAAAAAUAUGUGCAGAAUUCUCAGGAGGCACCACAUAAAUAAUACAUGUCUAUGUCAGGAUUUUUCACUAUUAUUCUUUAUAUCAAGGUGUAGUAUAUAGUAGAAAUAUGAUUUAUUGUGUUCCUUUCCUGGAAGCGUGUUUCACAAUCUUCAUUUAUUCCAGUGUAUGUGAAACAGGAAGAAAAAAAAAAAAUGUUUUGCAAUGAAAUGUAUUAACAGAUAAGGAAUAUAUGAUAAUUUUACUGAAGUCUGUAGGUCAAAUCCCCAAACAAGUUGUCUUCUCCUAUCCUCAAGGCUGGGAGAAAAAAUGUCUGAAACUAUGUAUUAUAUCCUUAAUAUGUUGUCUGCCCCACUUUGCCCUCCUUAAUGGGGCCAGCCUUUUUGCCUAGGCAAAUUAAGCAUCAAUUUAUGCUCAAAGACUUCCCAGAGACGGCUAGGUGAUUGGAGCUGCAUAUUUUGCUUGUGUCUAGCAGAAAAGCAUAACUGAGCAGAGAAUCCUGUCCAAGUGGCUUGUCACUAUCUCUUGCUUGCAGAACGAAAAAAUGGAGAAUUUUCUGCUUCCACAUUCACAAAAGACAAGUACCAGAACUAUUUCUGGGGGUUAAGAAGUAUUCCUAGAAGGUUGCAUGGGCUCAUUAGCCUCACUCUUCUUUUUCUUCCUGCCCUUUCCCCUGAGAUUUUUCCCAUGUUUUUCAUCCAGGCCUGUCUUUUUCUCUUUUCUGUAUAAGAAGUAGUGCUGGCAUGCUUGUGGUAGAGCAGACUAGUCAUAUCAGUUGAAAGGGCAAGAAAUGUGGUGCAGAGAAGGAACAGAGAGACAUUUCAUUUUUUCUUCCAGCUUCCUUUCCCCAUAUCCUGCUCUUUCAUUUCAAGGAUGAGGACCAAAUAAAUUAUCUUAUGUUCCUGUGAAGCUUUGAGUUGGUACCAUGCUGUGGCAGUGGGACAACAUGCAUGUAACCUUAAUCUGUUUUGAAGAGUUUAGUGUGUCUGUAGUUUACCUGCUCACAAAUUCCCUGCCCCACUUACUGAAAAGUACAGAUUGGUUUUCUGUAGAACUUCUUUUUUUAAUAAAAUAAAAUAAAAUAAAAAACUGAUUACGGGGUUAUUUAUUUAAACAAAAGCUGAAACUGAAUGAAAUUAUGAAACCCCAAACCUGUUCUCAUUGGUAAACAACCUUGGG